rnacentral:lncRNA from 1 species
GUAGUCUGUCAUGAUCAGGAUGUGCUUUCUCUGUCUCGAACUCGUCAUGGGUCCAACAAUGUCGAUCGCCCAACGCAUGAAUGGAUAUGGUGCCGUUGAAGAUUGUAAGAGUUCGGUCGGACAGUAUAUGUAAGGGGCGUGUCGCUGGGGCGUGUCGCUGGCACUUGUCGCACUUUCGGGUAUACGCUUCGCAAUCAGCGACCAUGGUUGGCCAGUAAAACCCAUGCUUUUUACUUUGAGGGAUAAUGCUCGACCGCCUGAGUGGUUUACGGCUGCUCCUUCGUGAGUUUCGGCCAUGUCCAAUGCUGCUUCCUUUGUGCUGAGGCACGUCAAGAGGACCUUAGCAGAAGUCCAGAGGUGCAACCUUCCCUCGAUGGCGACGUAGUUUGCAC